rnacentral:rRNA from 1 species
UACAGAGGGUGCAAGCGUUGUUCGGAUUUACUGGGCGUAAAGAGCGUGUAGGCGGCCAAGCAGGUCCGCUGUGAAAACUCGAGGCUCAACCUCGAGACGUCGGUGGAAACCGUUUGGCUAGAGUCCGGAAGAGGAGAGUGGAAUUCCCGGUGUAGCGGUGAAAUGCGCAGAUAUCGGGAAGAACACCCGUGGCGAAGGCGGCUCUCUGGGACGGUACUGACGCUGAGACGCGAAAGCGUGGGGAGCGAACAGG